AUCGGCUACAAAACACAUCGUUUGCUUCUUCACAUAUCCUUCCUUGCUCGACUUGAACGACGAAACCAAUGUUCCUUCUUUCUCAUGAAAAGUAUACUCAUAUCUCUUGCCAUUAAUCCCAUCAACCCACUUCCCUUGGUAAUGCAGUUUUGGAGUUCCUUCUUCACAAAGAGGCAGAAGAAACUGAUUCUUGGAAACAUAGCCGU
rnacentral:lncRNA from 1 species